rnacentral:rRNA from 1 species
UCUGGCUCCUUUGGGGUCCGAGUUGUAAUUUGUAGAGGGUGCUUUGGCGUUGGCCAUGGUCUAAGUUCCUUGGAACAGGACGUCACAGAGGGUGAGAAUCCCGUACGUGGCCGUUGGCCUUCGCCAUGUAAAGCCCCUUCGACGAGUCGAGUUGUUUGGGAAUGCAGCUCUAAAUGGGAGGUAAAUUUCUUCUAAAGCUAAAUAUUGGCCAGAGACCGAUAGCGCACAAGUAGAGUGAUCGAAAGAUGAAAAGCACUUUGGAAAGAGAGUCAAAAAGCACGUGAAAUUGUUGAAAGGGAAGCGCUUGCAGCCAGACUUGCCCGUAGUUGCUCAUCCAGGUUUCGGCCUGGUGCACUCUUCUGCGGGCAGGCCAGCAUCAGUCCAGGCGGUCGGAUAAAGGUCUUGGGAAUGUGGCUCUCUUCGGGGAGUGUUAUAGCCCAGGGCGUAAUGCGGCCAGCUUGGACUGAGGUCCGCGCAUCUGCUAGGAUGCUGGCGUAAUGGCUGUAAGCGGCCC